GCUCAGUUGGUUAAGCAUCCAGCUCUUGAUUUCGAGUCAGGUCAUGGUCUCACAGUUUGUGGGUUUGAGCCCCACACUGGGCU
rnacentral:tRNA from 1 species